rnacentral:lncRNA from 1 species
UUUCAUUUCAUCCCAUGGAGUGAGGACAUUGACCUAGGAUAUCAAUGUUAUGCAAAAAGGAAUUCCAGAAACAUCUAGUGGAUCCCACAAGUGCCAUAUUAGCAUGAUAAAGACGAUGAGAGUCAUUUAAAUUAUGAAAUUCAAAGAAUUUUCUAAACAAUCAAGCCAACUGAGAAAUGUGUUGUAUCCAGUGAGAUUAUCAAAGUCCCAUAAAUGAACUACGACUUGCAUAAAAUUUCAUAAUUCAACCGUCAAUCUUCAGAAUUUAGCACAAAAUUGGAGUAUAGGGAAUCCAGUGCAUUCAAGAGUCCACAAGUCCACGAGCUGCUCCUUAAAUCAAGGCUUUUGCCUCCAAUAAGCAAAAAGAUUUAAAGGGAUUUGGACCAAAAUAUGAUCCUUUGUUGAGAGUAACUGCUAAAGGUGAUCCAAGAUCAAAGGGGACCAAAAUCAGCUUCAAGUCUUCAACGUGAGUAAACCACCUCAUAUGCCAUGAUUUUGUCAAGCUCCCUACAUACCCUAAGCAAGAAUCUAUUUCGUUACACCAGAACAAGGACCAUUUUGCUUGGAAGGCAUCAAUUCCCAAGUUCACACUAAUAACACCGUCAGAAGCCAUAGCAACAGGACUGGUUUGAACGCUAGAAAAUGUCAUCCACAUUUCUUGCUGUAUGGAUGACAACAACAAUAAUCCAAGAUUGUCCACAAAUGAUAUUUUGUAAAUAAAGAAGCUCUGUCCAUACAUGUGUACUUUCCUCAUCUUUAUUUGCAGCAGAAAUCAUAGUAGUAAAGAAAGCUAUUGAUUCUACAUUGUAAUAGGGUAAUUGGCGCAAAACGUCCCUACCUUUCAGUUUAAUUGUGGAAAACGUCCCCACCUUUCAUUUUUUGGCACUUUUGCCCUCAAAUCAACCUUUCAUUGCGAUGAACGUCCUUCCGUCCAAAUUCCAUCCAUUUUGCCGUUAAUUAGAGAGAGAGAACAAAUUUCUUUCCACUCAACAGGGGUAAAACCGUCUAACCCAUUGAACUCCUUAUUCCAGCCUUCUACGUAGUCCAUAUAUAUAAUAGUAGUUGAAAAAUGGGUGUGAAAAUACUUUAAAUUAU